rnacentral:lncRNA from 1 species
CUGGAUGGCCAGUACUACUUGUGAUUAGCACGGGGAAGGGCAGAGGGAGAGAGACAGGCAGACUCCUUGCUGAGUGCGGAGCCAGACCUGGACUCUAUCACUCCUUCUUCUUAGCUGUGCUUGGGUGUCUCCAGUCCAGAAACCUUCUCUCCAGGGGACAGGCCUCUAAUAUUUCUCCAGGUGGCUAGAACCAAGAGACACUGCUCAAGACAAUAUAAACACAGCAUAUCUUUGUUCAAAUUUUUAAAAAGUGACUGCUCUGGGAAACUGAAGAUGUCUUUGCUUUGUCAUUGAACUGAAUAAAAACACUCACCUUGCAGAGAUGAUUUACAAAAUCAUCUUUUUGGAUGGACUCGUGAUAAACAGCUGCUGUGUCUCUCAUUUAAUCCCUAAGCCAGUGUGAUAGAAAAGCAUGGUCUGACUUUUGCCACUGAUCCAUUUUCUACCAUGGGGAUAAGACCAUACUCUAAGGAAUGGUCAAACAACAAGAAAGAAGGAACCUGAGUCCUGGAAGGCUUUAUGGAACAAAGUCUACCCCAUAAAAACCAGA